UUUGUUCUCAGCUCUGGGUUUUUGCCUUAAAGUCACACAGGAGACACUGUGCCCACACUUCCUCAAAUUAGUCAGCCUGGCUAAGGUUAGGGAGAAACGGAUCAAGCAGGUCCUCAGUAAAACUACAAAGACACUCACAUCAAGAAGAAAGCCUAGAGUUAGCAGAAUGAACAGAAAAGAAAUGGAAGACCGACCUUUAAUGAAUGCCAGUACUUUGAAAGAUACUCAUCUCCUUCUACGUCAUCCAAGAACCAUAGAUCUGGAAAGAUUUCAAGAGGUCCUACGGUUCUUCCAGGAAGAGAUGAAGUAAUAGCAUCACCUAAAAGACGCUUGUUGAGCCUAUUUCUCAGAAUCACCCAGGACAGGGAUUCCACAGGCUCGGGCCUGUCUGAUGGCUGGACUGUGCAUCUUCUGGCAUUUGGAUGAUUCAGUGCUCACUUUAGGCGUAUUUGGACAAUCCCAUCUGUCUCUGCUUUUCUAUUUCCUAUUCCCUCUCCCUGCUUUCGGCUUCGUUUUGCUAUGGUUUCAUAUCAAGUUUAAAUCAUUAAAUGCGUCAGAUUUCCAGGUCUUUGAGCAUUUGGAAGAGAUGGCAUCAUCAGAUCCCACAGAUCUUGAGCUGGAAGGCACCUCAGAGGCCAUUUAGUCCAACCCCUUUGUUUUACAUAUGAGGAAGUUGAGGCCAGGAGAGACCAAGUCACUUAUCCAAGGUCACCCGGAUAGAAAGCAGUGGAGGCACGAUUUGCUCCCAGGUCCUCUGACUCCGGAGCCGGUGCCCUUUCCGUGUCACGCUGUGAAAGCGAAGCUUCUCAAGAAACAUUCUUUUUCCCCCCCUCAGGAAACUUGUUCUUGUAUCAAACACAAAUCUCCAUUAAAUUUUAUCCUAUGA